rnacentral:rRNA from 1 species
GACGAACGCUGGCGGCGUGCUUAACACAUGCAAGUCGAACGGAAAGGCCCUGCUUUUGUGGGGUGCUCGAGUGGCGAACGGGUGAGUAACACGUGAGUAACCUGCCCUUGACUUCGGGAUAACUUCAGGAAACUGGGGCUAAUACCGGAUAGGAGCUCCUGCUGCAUGGUGGGGGUUGGAAAGUUUCGGCGGUUUGGGCUGGACUCGCGGCUUAUCAGCUUGUUGGUGGGGUAGUGGCUUACCAAGGCUUUGACGGGUAGCCGGCCUGAGAGGGUGACCGGCCACAUUGGGACUGAGAUACGGCGCAGACGCCUACGGGAGGCAGCAGUGGGGAAUAUUGCACAAUGGGCGGAAGCCUGAUGCAGCAACGCCGCGUGCGGGAUGACGGCCUUCGGGUUGUAAACCGCUUUCGCCUGUGACGAAGCGUGAGUGACGGUAAUGGGUAAAGAAGCACCGGCUAACUACGUG